UGGCAGCAUCAUGUUGUGGGGGUGCUUUGCUGCAGGAGGGACUGGUAAACUUCACAAAAUAGAUGUCAUCAUGUACACCUACAUACGAGCAUACAUCACUAAACUACAUAUACUGUGUCAGUAUAUUGUGUCACAUUCAGCUUUUUUUUCGAAUACUUUCCAAAUGUAAUCCAUUACAGUUACUAGUUACCUGUCCAACAUUUUAAUCUGUAAUGUAACUUUGGGGUUACCCACCCCUUACUUUCCCCUUAAGAGGCAUUCGAAGAAGACAAAAAAGAUCCAUCAAACACAUUUUGUGUGUCAUUAUAGUGGUCUCUGACAUCAUAGUGGUUCUCUGACAUCAUAGUGGUCUCUGACAUCAUAGUGGUUCUCUGACAUCAUAGUGGUCUCUGACAUCAUAGUGGUCUCUGACAUCAUAGUGGUUCUCUGACAUCAUAGUGGUCUCUGACAUCAUAGUGGUUCUCUGACAUCAUAGUGGUUCUCUGACAUCAUAGUGGUUCUCUGACAUCAUAGUGGUUCUCUGACAUCAUAGUGGUUCUCUGACAUCAUAGUGGUUCUCUGACAUCAUAGUGGUCUCUGACAUCAUAGUGGUUCUCUGACAUCAUAGUGGUCUCUGACAUCAUAGUGGUCUCUGACAUCAUAGUGGUUCUCUGACAUCAUAGUGGUCUCUGACAUCAUAGUGGUUCUCUGACAUCAUAGUGGUCUCUGACAUCAUAGUGGUUCUCUGACAUCAUAGUGGUCUCUGACAUCAUAGUGGUUCUCUGGCAUCAUAGUGGUCUCUGACAUCAUAGUGGUCUCUGACAUCAUAGUGGUUCUCUGACAUCAUAGUGGUCUCUGACAUCAUAGUGGUUCUCUGACAUCAUAGUGGUCUCUGACAUCAUAGUGGUUCUCUGGCAUCAUAGUGGUCUCUGACAUCAUAGUGGUCUCUGACAUCAUAGUGGUUCUCUGACAUCAUAGUGGUCUCUGACAUCAUAGUGGUCUCUGACAUUUUAACAUUUUUAUUUCACCUUUAUUUAACCAGGUAGGCUAGUUGAGAACAAGUUCUCAUUUGCAACUGCGACCUGGCCAAGAUAAAGCAUAGCAGUGUGAACAGACAACAUAGAAUUACACAUGGAGUAAACAAUUAACAAGUCAAUAACACAGUAGAAAAAAAAAGUCUAUAUACAUUGUGUGCAAAAGGCAUGAGGAGGUAGGUGAAUAAUUACAAUUUUGCAGAUUAAUUAACACUGGAGUGAUAAAUGAUCAGAUGGUCAUGUACAGGUAGAGAUAUUGGUGUGCAAAAGAGCAGAAAAGUAAAUAAAUAAAAACAGUAUGGGGAUGAGGUAGGUAAAAAUGGGUGGGCUAUUUACCGAUAGACUAUGUACAGCUGCAGCGAUCGGUCAGCUGCUCAGAUAGCUGAUGUUUGAAGUUGGUGAGGGAGAUGAAAGUCUCCAACUUCCGCGAUUUUUGCAAUUGACAUGUGGUCAACUCGCUCAUUUGGAACCAACUUAAAGCUUUUUCAUUUCUGAAUUGAAUGUCAUUCAAAAACAGAAAGGAAUCAUAAUGUAUUUUCUCGUAAACAUCUUUUCUGAAUUUAUAAGUAAUGCAAGAAGUAAUCAUCUAGUUUUUCAAAAGUAUUGUUGCAUUGCAUCACCAGUAAAUGCCUUUCACACUUACUGCAGCGGGUGAAAAUAUAGGACAGGUUGGGUAAUGUUAUUAAUAUGUAGGACAUGUUGGGUAAUGUUAUUCAUAUGUAGGACAUGUUGGGUAAUGUUAUUCAUAUGUAGGACAGGUUGGGUAAUGUUAUUAAUAUGUAGGACAUGUUGGGUAAUGUUAUUCAUAUGUAGGACAUGUUGGGUAAUGUUAUUCAUAUGUAGGACAGGUUGGGUAAUGUUAUUAAUAUGUAGGACAUGUUGGGUAAUGUUAUUCAUAUGUAGGACAGGUUGGGUAAUGUUAUUCAUAUGUAGGACAGGUUGGGUAAUGUUAUUAAUAUGUAGGACAGGUUGGGUAAUGUUAUUAAUAUGUAGGACAUGUUGGGUAAUGUUAUUCAUAUGUAGGACAGGUUGGGUAAUGUUAUUAAUAUGUAGGACAGGUUGGGUAAUGUUAUUCAUAUGUAGGACAGGUUGGGUAAUGUUAUUCAUAUGUGGGACAGGUUGGGUAAUGUUAUGAAUAUGUAGGACAGGUUGGGUAAUGUUAUGAAUAUGUAGGACAGGUUGGGUAAUGUUAUGAAUAUGUAGGACAGGUUGGGUAAUGUUAUGAAUAUGUAGGACAGGUUGGGUAAUGUUAUGGAUAUGUAGGACAGGUUGGGUAAUGUUAUGGAUAUGUAGGACAGGUUGGGUAAUGUUAUGAAUAUGUAGGACAGGUUGGGUAAUGUUGUGAAUAUGUAGGACAGGUUGGGUAAUGUUAUGAAUAUGUAGGACAGGUUGGGUAAUGUUGUGAAUAUGUAGGACAUGUUGGGUAAUGUUGUGAAUAUGUAGGACAGGUUGGGUAAUGUUAUUAAAAUGUAGGACAGGUUGGGUAAUGUUAUUAAAAUGUAGGACAGGUUGGGUAAUGGUAUGAAUAUGUAGGACAGGUUGGGUAAUGUUAUUAAUAUGUAGGACAGGUUGGGUAAUGUUAUGAAUAUGUAGGACAGGUUGGAUAAUGUUGUGAGUAUGUAGGACAUGUUGGGUAAUGUUGUGAAUAUGUAGGACAGGUUGGGUAAUGUUAUUAAAAUGUAGGACAGGUUGGGUAAUGUUAUUAAUAUGUAGGACAGGUUGGGUAAUGUUAUGAAUAUGUAGGACAGGUUGGGUAAUGGUAUGAAUAUGUAGGACAGGUUGGGUAAUGUUAUGAAUAUGUAGGACAGGUUGGGUAAUGUUAUUUAUAUGUAGGACAGGUUGGGUAAUGUUAUUAAAAUGUAGGACAGGUUGGGUAAUGUUAUGAAUAUGUAGGACAGGUUGGGUAAUGUUAUGGAUAUGUAGGACAGGUUGGGUAAUGUUAUGAAUAUGUAGGACAGGUUGGGUAAUGGUAUGAAUAUGUAGGACAGGUUGGGUAAUGGUAUGGAUAUGUAGGACAGGUUGGGUAAUGUUAUUAAUAUGUAGGACAGGUUGGGUAAUGGUAUGAAUAUGCCUGCUCUGCUGUGCAAACACUCAAUAAAUAUUUCAUCCACUGCUAUCUCUGCAAACAGACAGCGUACAUUGAGCCAUAUGUAUUUUAAACCUUCAUCAGAAUCACAGAAUCAACAAUCUACCUUAACCACAAAUAGCUGCCAAAGAGGAUUAAUGUCUUAUCAUGAAUUUUCAAAAACUACAAUUUUGAUUUAUUUUACUAGGCAAGUCAGUUAAGAACGAAAUUCUUAUUUUCAAUGACGGCCUAGGAACUGCCUGUUCAGGGGCAGAAUGACAGAUUUAUACCUUGUCAGCUCGGGGAUUUGAACUUUCAACCUUUCGUUUACUAGUCCAACACUCCUAAUCGCCCCUAAUCUGCUACAGUAUGAAAGUGGAAAAGUAAUGAAAUUCAAGACAUGGGAUUGCAGAUAUGGGCUCAGAUCUGUCCUUCACAACUCUUCAAAUCAUCCACACAAGACUUGCAUUCACUCUCUAUCUGUUCAUGCUGACAUCAGUAAAUUGGAGUCAAUAGAGGGGAGGGAACGUCUUCCAAACGUUCAAACAGAACAGAGCAGAACUUAGGAGGAGUGAGGACCAACACACACACACACACACACACACACACACACACACACACACACACACACACACACACACACACACACA